rnacentral:lncRNA from 1 species
AGUGCCAAAAACGACGAAAUCAAAGUACCGAAAAAAAGUGCCGAAACAGGUGGCAACCAAACUGAUUAAUCAUUACUGAUUGAUCAUUAUUUAAAAAGGUUGAUAAUAGACUCAUAUUCUUAGUGUGAAAUAGGUUCAAGUAUUUGAGCGCUAGGUGGAGACAACCAACGAACACCUUUCCCGACCCUUUCAAUUUUGGACGCAAUCAUCUCCGAGUAAACCCUUCCUUAAUAAGCUCAUUUAAAUAAACAAUACAAAAAGAAAAAAUCUGGCCACGUCGCCCAACUCCCAAUUCAUGGAGUAAUAUUCCUUUCUACUCGUGGACUUGCCUGCUAACUAUGAUUACGUCUAUUUAUUUGCUUUACAAUACUAAAUGGCUUUUUAGGGUUGUCCAUUCUUACGAAAUUACACCAUCGUAAGAAGAAAAUGCAGUUUAUUAUAUAUGUUUAUGUUUAAACUUGCUUGCUUGCUUUCUCUAAUUUGAACACAAUGGCCAAUAAAAGGAAGAGGAUAGAAUUCAGAUUUUUGUACAUUUAAUAAGACUUCAACAAAUUUAUUGUCACGCUACUUCGAUUUAUACGGAGGCUGCCUUUUGGGAAGAGAAAUCUGAAAUAAGAAAAUGUCACUGGCUAAAGGAAAAUAAAACAUUCGGUAUAUUUAUAAGAAUAAAUGACAAUUUUUUACCAGAUUUAUUUCCUUUCUUCCACCCCUCAUUUCCACCCCGUGCGCCUCUUUCUCCGUUAAACAGAGAAAAAGUAAAAAAUGCGUGCUUAUUAGGGGGAGACUACACGAGUGGGUGGAAAUGGGGGAGGGAGAAAGGGAAUAGAACGGAUAAAAAAGAAAAGCAGCUUUAAGGAAAUAGGAAGUAGGCAAAACACUAAGAAGAACCGAGACGACCCUGGUGGAAUGAAGCAUGUAAAGCAGCUAUUAAAAAACGCACGAAAAGCCUAAAAUAGAUGGAAGAAAUCUCCACAAUAGACGGACAAAACAAAAAAUUGGAAAAUGCUGAAGUUAAAAAAGAAAAAAAGUUAAAAGAAUCCUGAAGACAAUGGACCGACUUAUCUCAGAACUAGGGCCACAAGAUCAAAACAAAUUGUGGCAUGUUCAUUAAAUACAUGAUCGGAAAGGGAGUGAACAUGUCACCCGACGAAAAACAGAUAAUAAAUUAUGGAAACAUAAUCGAAGCCCAAAAAGAUAAAGCAGAAACCUUCCUAGACUGCUUUUGCAAAGUGCACCCUUCAAGUAUCCCGAUCAACUCCCACUUUUAAAAAACCAUCAUGAAUUCAAGAAGAUUCACCGACAACCCUUAAUGGCUGCAAAACAAUGGAGGAGGUGAAAAGGAAUCUACCGAGAUCAAAAAGUAAAUCCGUAGGACCGAACCUAGUCCACAAUCACAUGCUAAAGAACCUAUCAACGCAAAUAAAACCCACCUUCUUCAUUUACUUAACCUACUACUUAAGCACUCAUACGUACCCAUACAGUGGAAACAAUCAAUUGUAAUACACUUGCUGAAACCGGUUAAAGAAAAGACCGAGCCAAGAUCCUAUCGGCCAGUGUCGCUCUCGUAGUGCUUAAGCAUAAUAAUGGAAAUAAAUGAAGUCAAUUGGUUAUAAUGGUACAUAGAAAAACAGGAAAAAUUAAAAGGAUACAAGCUGGAUUAACAAGAGGAUGCAGCACAAUGGAUCAUAUAGCGCAGCUGGAAACCGACAUCCAAAUAGGUUUUAGCAUGAAGAAAUCUACAGUCGCGGUGUUUCUAGACAUAGAGAAAUCAUAGGACUCAGAAUGGAAGCAAGGCUUAGUAUAUAAAAUUGCCAAAUCUCUCAGGAGAAGAUGUUGAUUUGUAUGAUGACCUAAAUACCUUUGAGAAACAGUUAGCUGCAGAAGAGGUAACCAUAAAAAAUAUCUUUAAAUUAAUACAUAACUAAUAGAAAAUGCAUUAGCUCCAAGCCAAAGUUGAAAUACUUGAACAAAAAUUUUCAACUUUGGACAGCAAGAAUGCUGAGUUAAAAGCUGAGCUUGACAAAGUAAACAAACAAAACCUGGCGCUGAGAUGUAACAUUUCCUCCAUCUUUAAAACUGCCAAAGCUGAACUGGUGAGGAAGGAUCGCCAACUGAAAGAUCUUCAAAGAGAGCAUGACACACUUAUUUUCCGUAGAAGUGCAGCAAACAAUAGAAUGCCUCCACACAACAGUAAGAACACUCC